UACGAAGGGGCUAGCGUUGCUCGGAAUCACUGGGCGUAAAGGGUGCGUAGGCGGGUUUUUAAGUCAGGGGUGAAAUCCUGGAGCUCAACUCCAGAACUGCCUUUGAUACUGAAGAUCUUGAGUCCGGGAGAGGUGAGUGGAACUGCGAGUGUAGAGGUGAAAUUCGUAGAUAUUCGCAAGAACACCAGUGGCGAAGGCGGCUCACUGGCCCGGUACUGACGCUGAGGCACGAAAGCGUGGGGAGCAAACAGG
rnacentral:rRNA from 1 species